UUCCCCGGGGAGGGAGGGAGGGGCAUCUGUAGGGGAAGGUCUGAGCACAGGGGCCCCUUGGGGCGCGGCCCCGGGACCAAUGACUUCGUCUGGCGCCCGGGCGGCCGUGGGUCGGGCCUGGCCGUGAGCCGCGGACGGCAAGGAGGCCUCCCAGGCCCUCGCCUCAGGAAACCACGCCCCGCCCCAGACCUCCCCGCGGCGGCUCCCCGCCUCCUGCGCAGCGGGGCUCCUCACGGUGGGGUCCGGCCUAGUGAGAAGCCACUGGAGACGAUCCCUGUCCCCGGCCCCCAGGAAUACUCCGGGGAGCAGCGUGGACGCAGCUUCCCUGUCCUAGACAAGAAAACAGUCGUUUCAAAAAACUUCAAAAAGGACACAAUAGAAUUAAUUAGAAAUGUUAAGAUUGCCCAAGAAAGGAUUACUUAGAUUUGAUCAAGUUCAAGAUGAAGAAACCUACUUGGAAAAUUUAACAGUGCAGAGAAAUGCUUCUGCUUUUUUUGAAAAAUAUGAUCGGAGUGAAGUACAAGAAUUGCUCACUACUGUGCUAGUUAGCUGGUUGUCUGCCAAAGAAGAUGUCCGCUCUCAGUUUGAUGUCCCCUGUGGAAUUAUGACUCAAAUGAAUAAUGUCGGCUUUUCCACUGCAAUCCUGCUGACUCCUGUGGACCCCACCGCCCUCUUAGACUAUAGAGAAGUCCAUCAGAUCAUAAGGGAGUUGGCUGUUGGAAUUUAUUGCUUAAAUCAAAUUCCUUCAAUCAGUUUAGAAGCUAAUUAUGAUCAGAGUUCUUCUUGUCAAUUACCUCCAGCUUAUUAUGAUACCAGAAUUGGGCAAAUUCUGAUCAAUAUUGACUACAUGCUGAAAGCACUAUGGCAUGGAAUAUACAUGCCCAAAGAAAAACGAGCCAGAUUCUCUGAACUGUGGCGUACCAUCAUGGACAUCGAUCCAGAUGGGAAGCCUCAAACAAACAGAGAUAUUUUUGCAGAGUUUAGUUCAGCAGGUCUGAUUGAUAUUACAAAGGAUCCAGACUUUAAUGGAAUCUAUGAUGAAGACAUGAAUGCAGAUCCGACAUAUAAUCCCAAUAGCCCUGAGGAAAAAGCUAUAUUUAUGAAAUAUGCUGAAAAUAUUUUGCUAAAGUUGACAUUCAGUACCACACAAGUUCAACAAUGUGAAAAUGUUUUUAUAUUUGAAACAGCCUAUUGGCUUACGAACGCUAUAAAAUAUAAUCAGGAUUAUCUUGAUAUUUGUACCUACCAGAGACUACAGCAGAGAUUAUAUCUUCAAAAAAAGGUUAUUCAAAAACACUUUGAAAAGAACAAAGAAAUCAGAAGAGGGCUAGGAUACCUAAAGUUAAUAUGUUUUCUGACUCCAUUUCUACUAAGUUUAAAAAAGAAGAUGAAAGUCCCAUAUUUAACUAGUCUGCUUCAGCCUUUUUCAGAUGACAAGGUCAAGACAGAGCGAGAAUUGCCUCCAUUCAUUUAUGGACGAGAUUUUAAAUGCCAGAAUUUUCACUACAAAGAGAAUCAGUAUUUUCAUGUUCAUGGAGGAAUUGAAUUUGAUAUCAGCACCCCUUCAAUUGAGAAUGCUUUGGAAGAUUUUCAGAACAAUUUAGAAAAAAUACGGGAUUGUGCUGCUAAUACAUUUGCAGAAGAUUCAGGAUACAAAGAAUAUUACUCAAUACCAGUCAUGGAAUUUAACGGAAAAAGCUAUUAUGUGAUUUAUUUUGAAUUGGAAACUUUCUAUCAGCAACUAUAUAAGACACAGUGGUGGGGAGCCAUAAAUGAAAUAGUCAACAAUCUGAGGCUGAAAAGACUUCCUCUGACAGAUGCUCAAUUACACGAACAAUUCAAGAAAAAAUUUGGUUUCAAAAAAUCUAUGAAAUGCAAGAGCAUCCCAUUUGGUAUGAAGUCUGCUGUUGAAAGAGGAUUAUCUGCUGUUUUCCAUACAUUUAGCCGUAAAACCUCCAGCUCAACGAUCAAUGUCUCAGAUGAGGCAGGUUAUGCUAUUUUCCAUCAUGCCGCUUUACAUAACAGAGUUCCGAUUAUCUGCCAACUGUGCAAAGCCAACUUCAACGUCAACCAGAGACGCUUUAUUAUGUAUAGCCAAGAGUCAUCCAAAAUGGACGUGAAAAAAGAAAGAAAUGGUCCAACACCUCUACACCUGGCUGCGCAGGCUUGCUCAUUGGAAACAACCAUCUGUCUACUCUGUUUCAAAGCUGAUUACACACUUUCGGAAAAAAGAGGCUGGAUGCCAAUUCACUUUGCUGCUUUCUAUGACAAUAUCUGCAUCAUCAUUGCCCUCUGUAGGAAGGAUCCUAGUUUACUAGAAGCUGAAGCAACCGCUGAGAAUCAGUGUACACCACUCUUACUUGCUGCCACUUCAGGAGCACUGGACACUAUUCAGUACCUAUUUUCUCUUGGUGCUAACUGGAGAAAAACAGACAUUAAAGGAAAUAAUAUAAUUCAUUUAUCAGUGCUAACCUUUCACACAGAGGUCCUCAAGUAUAUAAUAGAGUUAAAUAUUCCUGAACUCCCAGUUUGGAAAACUUUGGUAGAAAUGUUGCAGUGCGAAAGCUAUAAACGAAGGAUGAUGGCCGUCAUGUCCUUAGAAGUAAUUUGCUUAGCAAGUGAUGGAUACUGGAAACAUAUUUUGGAUGCUGGCUCCAUUCCUGCCUUAAUCAGUCUAUUAAAAGGUUCCAAAAUAAAAUUACAGUGCAAAACAGUUGGGUUAUUGAGUAAUAUCUCCAUCCACACAAGUGUAGUGCGUGCUAUAGUAGAUGCAGGAGGCAUUCCAGCUCUGAUCAACCUGCUGGUUUCUGAUGAACCUGAACUACACUCUCGCUGUGCUGUCAUCCUAUACGAUAUUGCUCAACUUGAAAACAAGGAUGUUAUUGCCAAAUAUAAUGGGAUCCCAGCUCUGAUAAAUCUCUUACAGUUCAACAUAGAAAAUGUGUUAGUAAAUGUAAUGAACUGUAUACGGGUAUUAUGUAUAGGAAACAAGGACAAUCAAAGGGCAGUGAGAGACCAUAAAGGCAUCCAAUAUCUUAUCACAUUCUUGAGUUCUGAUUCAGACAUGUUGAAGGCUGUAUCUUCCGCUACAAUUGCUGAGGUUGCACGUGACAAUAAGGAUGUUCAGAAUGCUAUGGCUAUGGAAGGAGCCAUCCCUCCUCUGGUGGCUCUCUUCCAAGGGAAACAACUUUGUGUCCAAGUGAAGGGUGCGAUGGCUGUGGAAUCACUGGCAAGUCACAAUCCUUCUAUACAGAGAGCAUUUCUGGAAAAAUCGUUAAGUAAAUAUCUUUUAAAACUCCUCAAGGCGUUUCAAAUAGAUGUGAAGGAACAAGGAGCUGUAGCACUUUGGGCCUUGGCAGGACAAACACUGAAACAACAAAAGUAUAUGGCAGAACAGAUUGGGUACAACUUUAUAAUAAAUAUGCUUUUGUCACCAUCAGCGAAAAUGCAGUAUGUUGGAGGUGAAGCAGUCAUAGCUCUAAGUAAGGACAGCAGGAUGCAUCAAAAUCAAAUAUGUGAAGGGAAUGGAAUUUCACCAUUGGUUCGCUUACUAAGGAUUAGUAAGAUAGCUGAAGGCAUACUUCUGAGUGUCAUCAGAGCAGUGGGAUCCAUUUGUAUUGGUGUUGCCCACACAAGCAAUCCCACUAGUCAACAAUUUGUUGUAGAGGAAAAUGCCUUUCCAGUACUUAUUCAACUACUGAGAAAUCACCCUUCUCCUAACAUUAAGGUUGAAGUGGCAUUUUCCCUGGCAUGCAUUGUCCUAAGGAAUGAUGUGUUACAGAAAGAAUUACAAGAAAAUGAAGGAUUUAAGUAUGCUGAUGUCCUUUAUCUUCUUCACUCACAAGAUAAGGUAAUACGUUUACAAAAUGUUAAAGCUCAUUUAGAAGAAAAUGGUUUUUAGACCACAGCCUCAAAUUAUCAUCAAGUCUUUUUCACGGCAAUAUUUAAAUGCAUUACUUAAGAAAUGUAAAAUCUCCUUGGUAGGGUUUGUAAUGAUGGAAUAAUAUUGUUCCAUAUUUUUCAUAGUUGUCACAUUCCAUCUUUAAAAUAUAGCAAUUUUCAUGCUUGGUGAAGAGCCAAAAACCAAAUCUCUCUUGGAUAAAAUUUUAACCUAAUUUUAUGACCUUUCAAUACUCAGCCAUCUGCUUCUUAUUCUAUUAAGAAUAUUCUAAUAUCUUAUUCUAGAGUGGUGCUCCUCAAAGUCUUUAUUAUGAAGGAAUAGCUUUUUCCCAGCAGUCUGUUAUAGGGAGAUAAAUUUUUAAAAGCCAAACUUUAAAUUUUGAAAUAAUUUUAGACUUUCCAAAAAUGUGCAAAAAUAGCACAGUGUGUUCUGACAUAUCCUUUGUCCAGCUUUUCUGGAUGUCAACGAGGAAAUUAAAAUGGAUACAACACCAUUAACUAAUCUGCAGACCUUAUUUAAAUUUUGCCAAUUUUCUCCCCAAUGUCCUUUUUCUGUUCCAGAAUCCAAUCCAGAAUCCCACAUUGCAUCUAGUUGUCAUGUCUCUUUAGUCUCCUUCAGUCUGUGAAACUCAGUCCUUUGUCUUUCAUGAUUUCAAGUCUUUUCAUGAUUUUGACAUUUUUGAUGAGUCCAGGCCAAGUUAUUUUACAGAAUGUCCCUCAGUUCGAAUUAUCUGAUGUCUUCUCGUGACUACAUUGAGGUCAUGGAUUUUGGCAAGACUACCAGAGAAGUGAUGUGGUCUUCUUUACUCACCCUCCCAGUGCAUCAUUUCAAAGGGAAGAUCAGCCCUGAGCUAACAUCUGCUGCCAAUCCUCCUCUUUUUGCUGAGGAAGACUGGCCCUGAGCUAACAUCCGUGCCCAUCUUCCUCUACUUUAUAUGUGGGACGCCUGCCACAGCAUGGCUUGAUGAGCGGUGCCAUGUCCACACCCGGGAUCCGAACUGGUGGACCCCCCGCCGCCGAAGCGGAACGCGCGAACUUAGCUGCUGCGCCACCGGGCCGGCCCCCGUAUAGCAUUUUUAUAUAAUGAUUAGUAGUGGCAGAAGAAAACUCACUAAGAUUAGUAGUUCUCUCUCUCGCUGUACUAUACUGUUCAAAUAAAAUAGUGAAAAUAA